rnacentral:misc_RNA from 1 species
AACGCACAUUGCGCCCGCCAGUAUUCUGGCGGGCAUGCCUGUCCGAGCGUCAUUUCAACCCUCGAACCCCUCCGGGGGGUCGGCGUUGGGGAUCGGCCCUCCCUCUGCGGGGGCCGUCUCCGAAAUACAGUGGCGGUCUCGCCGCAGCCUCUCCUGCGCAGUAGUUUGCACACUCGCAUCGGGAGCGCGGCGCGUCCACAGCCGUUAAACACCCAAACUUUCUGAAAUGUUGACCUCGGAUCAGGUAGGAAUACCCGCUGAACUUAA